ensembl:lncRNA
AUGCUGAGCUCUCCGGAGACUCGCCUGCUUUCUGCUUGUUCUUCCUGCCGUGGCUCCAGCGAUAUGCUGAGCUCUCCGGAGACUCGCCUGCUUUCUGCUUGUUCUUUCUGCCGUGGCUCCAGCGAUCUCCCCUCUGGCACCUCUGCUCAGACCACUGCUCUCUUUUUCCUGUGCUGUUCCUGCUUUGAAAUGGCAAUAAAAUUCCUUCCUUUGACUGAGCUGCUGACCCAGCCACUGACAGGAAUUGAGCUGCACGCCUGUGGCUCUUGCAGCUGACAGACAGCAUGCUGAGAACAAAGGAGCAGGAGGAAAGCAUGAGUCACUGGAGCCUACCCCACGUCACUAAACCUGGGGAAAACCAGAAGAUUGUGCUGCCCCUGGUCUGAGGUUCCCUGGGAGUCAUGAUGAGCCACCAAUAAGAGACUUGACUUGUGACCGUGGUGUAAUUGAAAUAUCUGGUUUUGAUGCGGACAUCCUGACGCCGAAGUCUCCCUCUCUCAUCAGCUGUGUGGCUUCAGGAAGCUAAUUCACUUUUACUGAGUCACAUACCCUUCAUUUGUAAAGUGAGGUCAUCUCCACACGGCUCCCUCACAAAUGGUGGCAAAGAUUCAAUAUGUGAAUGGGUACUGAGUUACUUUAAAGCUGAAGUGCUCUGCACCAAGUAUGGUAUCUGUGUUUCUCUCUUACUUCUACCACCUCCUUCAAAGUCAGGCUUCUCUUGGUCAGAUCAAUUCUUCGUGUGAUUUGGAAGAUGCUAUGCCUUCCUCAUUCCAGCAGCCUUGCAGGGCUCAGCAGGGAAAGAUAUUGACCUGGAGCUUCCUCUGCAGGGCCUUCUUCACCUCCUUGUUGCGGAGGCUCUAGAUGACGGGGGUGAGCAUGGGGGUUAUGAUGGUGCAGCAGACAGACACGACCUGGCCACUGGUGUCAUCGGUGGAUCCAUGAGGCUGGACGUAGGUGAAAUCACGGUGCUGUGGAAGGUGGCAAUGGCCAGGAAGUGGGAGGCACACGUGGAGAGGGCCUUCUCCUUCCCAGCUGCUGAGCGCAUCCUCCCAAUGGCCAGCAAGAUCAGGCCGUAGGAGGUGAGGACGAGGGCAGCAGGUAGAUAGGUAGCCAGGGCAGAGAAGAUAUAGAGGACCACUCCUGCCGUGGCUGUGUUGGCACAGGCCCGGCAGAGAAGGGGUUGGAUGUCACAGAAGUAGUGCAGUACCUGGUUGGGCCCACAGAAAGGCAGGGCAAAGACAUCCCCAGUCUCGAUAGCAGAAUUAGUGCCACCGAAAGCGAGGAAGCAGCCACCAGCUGGAGACAGGUGCCCCGGUCAUGACGGAGCCGUAGUGGAGAGGUGGGCAGGUGGCCGUGCAGCGGUCGCAGGCCAUGGAAGCCAGCAGGAAGCUCUCAGCUGUGGCGUGCAUCACAAAGAAGGUCAUCUGGACCACACAGCCCUUGAAGGGGAUGGACCUGUCAGAGGCCAGAAAGUCGACCAGCAGCCUGGGUGUGACCACAGAGGAGUAGCAGAUAUCAAGGAAAGAGGACGCUGAGAAAGAAUCCACGGGACUGUGGAGGCGGGAGUCCAUGAGGAUGAGCGCCACCAUCCCCAGGUUGCCCACCACGGUCAUGACAUAGAUGAGCAGGAAGCCUCCAGAGAGAAGCUUCUGGAGGUCUGGGUCACUAGAGAAUCCC